rnacentral:rRNA from 1 species
UACGGGGGGAGCAAGCGUUGCUCGGAUUUACUGGGCGUAAAGGGCGCGUAGGCGGCGCAACAAGUCACUUGUGAAAUCUCCGGGCUUAACCCGGAGCGGCCAAGUGAUACUGUCGUGCUAGAGUGCGGAAGGGGCUACUGGAAUUCUCGGUGUAGCGGUGAAAUGCGUAGAUAUCGAGAGGAACACCUGCGGCGAAGGCGGGUAGCUGGGCCGACACUGACGCUGAGGCGCGAAAGCCAGGGGAGCGAACGGG